CUGGAGGAUGCUCAGAAUGGGAAACAUUGGGACUGGGGGACCUGGGGGGGGGACAGGCGGAGGGUGACACCGGGAAUGGGGGACAUUGGGACUGGGGGACACUGGGAAUGGAGGAUCUGGGGGGGGAACAGGCGGAGGGUGACACUGGGAAUGGGGGACAAUGGGACUGGGGGACGCCAGGAAUGGGGGACAUCAUCCACAGCGACGUCAGGUGACACCGCAGUCUGGUGACACCACAACCGGGUGACAAUGCCAAUGGGUGACACUGCCAAGGGGUGACAAUACCAACGGGUGACACCGCAAUUGGGUGACACCGCAACCGGGUGACCCUGCCACCGGGUGACACCACAGCCGGGUGACACCGCCAACAGGUGACACCGUAACUUGGCGACACCGCCAAUGGGUGACACCACAACCAGGUGACACCGCCAACGGGUGACACCGUAACUUGGUGACACCGCCAACGGGUGACACCGCCAACGGGUGACACCUCAACCAGGUGACACCGCCACCGGGUGACACCGCCAACGGGUGACACCGCCAACAAGUGACACCGCCAACAGGUGACACCGCCACCGGGUGACACUGCAACCAGGUGACACCGCCAACGGGUGACACCGUAACUAGGUGACACUGGCAACAAGUGACACCGUAACUUGGUGACACCGCCAACAGGUGACACUGUAACUUGGUGACACCGCCAACGGGUGACACCGCCACCGGGUGACACCGCAACUGGGUGACACCGCCAACAGGUGACACUGUAACUUGGCGACACCGCCAACGGGUGACACCGCCAACGGGUGACACCACCAACGGGUGACACCAUAACUUGGUGAUGCCGCCACCGGGUGACACUGCCAACGGGUGACUCUGUAACUUGGCGACACCGCCACCGGGUGACACCGCCACCGGGUGACACUGCCAAUGGGUGACACCGCCACCGGGUGACACCGCCAAUGGGUGACACCAUAACUUGGUGACGCUGCCAACGGGUGACACCAUAACUAGGUGACACCGCCAACGGGUGACACCGCAACCAGGCAACACCGCCACCGGGUGACACCACCAACGGGUGACUCCGCCAACGGGU
rnacentral:lncRNA from 1 species